UCCUCUUCAGGCAGCAGACCGGAGCCGAGGAGAAGAGCAGGAGACCGGAGGGUAACACUCAGCUCUGCACAAAUGAGUUGUGAAUGUUGCUGCAACAAAUAUGACUUGGCACUAGCAUCUUCGAUCCUAUGAGCUGUCAG